AGAAUCAACGCUGGCGGCGUGCCUAACACAUGCAAGUCGCACGAGAAAGGGACUUCGGUCCUGAGUACAGUGGCGCACGGGUGAGUAACACGUGAAUCAUCUACCUCCGAGUGGGGAAUAACCUAGAGAAAUCUGGGCUAAUACCGCAUAACACUUACGAGUCAAAGCAGCAAUGCGCUUGGAGAGGAGUUCGCGGCAGAUUAGUUAGUUGGCGGGGUAAUGGCCCACCAAGACGAUGAUCUGUA
rnacentral:rRNA from 1 species